rnacentral:rRNA from 1 species
UCUGACCUCAAAUCAGGCAGGACUACCCGCUGAACUUAAGCAUAUCAAUAAGCGGAGGAAAAGAAACUAACAAGGAUUCCCCUAGUAACUGCGAGUGAAGCGGGAAAAGCUCAAAUUUGAAAUCUGGCAGUCUUUUUUUUCUUCUU